rnacentral:rRNA from 1 species
UACGAAGGGGGCUAGCGGUGCUCGGAAUGACUGGGCGUAAAGGGCGCGUAGGCGGCUUGCACAGUCAGGCGUGAAAUUCCUGGGCUCAACCUGGGGACUGCGCUUGAGACGUGUGGGCUUGAGUGGGGAAGAGGGUCGUGGAAUUCCCAGUGUAGAGGUGAAAUUCGUAGAUAUUGGGAAGAACACCGGUGGCGAAGGCGGCGACCUGGUCCUUGACUGACGCUGAGGCGCGAAAGCGUGGGGAGCAAACAGG